AUCACUCUGUUUUUCAUCUGUCAAUACUCACUUCAUUGGGGAUUCACAAGACUUAACUGGCACGAGACAAUCUUCAGAGUUACAGUCAUUGGCUUGCCAUUUAAAAUUCUGUUCUGAGAAAUUUGAAUCCUAAAUUUGUCUUUCUAGGGUUGGCCAACCACUGUGAUUUUAGGAAGAACCUGUUUGUUUGGUGAGUGUGGUAGAGCACAGGGUUCUUGAUUGUCUUGUCGACAAAGCAUAAUAUAGAUCGGGUGCUGUUAUGGUUAGAAUGUGAAAUGUCCCCCAGGGGGUCAUGUGUUUACAUACUCAAUCAUGAGCUGCUGUAUUGUUGUGGGAAGCUGAGGAGUCUUGUGAGGUGGAGCACAGCUGGAGAAAGUGAGUCACUGUGGCAUGGACUUUCAGGCUUGUAUCUCAGUCCUGGUUCCGGGCUGACCUCUCUGCUUCCUGUUCUGCCAAGAUACAAGGAGGCAAUGACCUCUGGCUGCCCACCAGCAAGAAGCCUCCUGCUGCCAUGCCUUCCCUAUCAUUCUGGAUUGCAUCCCUCCACACUUCACCAGCUAAAUAAAUCCCUGCUCCAUUAA